GUGCUUGCUUCAGCAGCACAUGUACUGAAACGGGAUACCGAGACAAUCAGAAUGGCCCUGUACAAGGGAUGAUAUGCAGCUCUCCAGUGUUCCAUAGUUUU
rnacentral:snRNA from 1 species